GGUGGCUUGUCGCUUGCCGCGUUUGGCGGCAGGAGGAAAGUCCGGGCAACGCAGAGUAUCAUAUUUCCUAACGGGAAGCUGCUUGCGAGGGCAGAGUUGAAUGUGACAGAAAAUAACCGCCGGCGCGUCUUCGAGCAAGGCUGCCGGUAAGGGUGAAAAGGCGAGGUAAGAGCUCACCGGGCGGGAUGGUGACAUUUCGCGCCGCACAACUUAUGAGUUGCAAGGCCAAGUAUACCGGCAUUCAAGGGUUACUCGUCCAUUGUCGGGGGGUAGGCUGCUAAAGUGUACUGGCAACAGUGCAUUGAGAUAAAUGACAGGCCGUGUUUGGCGCAAGCCUGCACGACAUAACCCGGCUUAUAGCCGUGCUG
rnacentral:RNase_P_RNA from 1 species